AUUGACAACUCUGAUUAUACAUCGUCUUCACUAAACGGACCUUUGCUGAGUUUUGUAUUGUGUUCAUCCCCACCCCACACUCUGCUGUUGCCAUGGGAGCCGAAAUCCUGGCAUGGUUAGCUCCGCCCCCAAGUGGCUCUGUCUCCCAGAGUGCUUUGCUGUUACUAUGGAAAUGCCUGCCUAUUAAUCUUGCUGUCCUUUUACUACCAAAGCACCUUUAACUGUCUCAAGCAAUCAAGUGAUGUUACCUACAGCAGGGAAAGGAAGGAGAAGACGGCCUCCCAUUCUCCAGCUGAAGCGCUGAUUUUAAUCAAGAUUUAAUCAAGGAGCAGAAGAAUGGACUCCCCCAAACUGCUCACCGUGCAGACUUGAUCUAAGCAUGGACACUGUUCUCUCCGAUUGCCUUAAAGAUGCAGCUAAGACCAGUCAGUGGUGUUGGCCAAAGAUAUAGUGGAAGUUUGGCAUGUAUAGAAGUGGGUACUGAGAAUGAUCUACUCUUCCACUGUGGUUGUCACUCCAAGAGCUCACAAACCCUAAAGCCAACUCCAGAGUCCCUGCCUUACUCUCAGGUGGCUCCAGUGUAAUGGGCCUAAGUCACUCCCAGUGUUCCUCCGCACCAGUCUACUCUCCCUUGGAAAUGCACAACGUGUCUCAAAUGUUUUCCUACCAGUGAAGGAAUGUAUUUUCUGAAGAAGACCCAAAAGGAAAAUGUUCAUGGGUAUAGCUCAUCUAGAGAAACAUUGACCAGUUUCAGCAGAAAAGAUAGCACAGAAAGAAGAUGGCAUCUGACUUCAACAUUUAGCUGACGUUUGACAACGGAUGAAGACACCACUGAUUAGCACGGCAUCAAUUUACAUCUGUUCCCAUGAUCAUGAUGAGGGCAUUGUCCUCCUCUUAGACGGAGUCCAGUGUGUGAAGGGAAUGUGUCCUUCCCCCACCUCGACCUGCCUCAACGCUUUCAAUGCUGCUAUUUGCUAUGCUCUGGGCCAAGUGGUAAAGAGUAUCAGAAACAGAGAUGGAGCAGGAGCUUCCGGAAGCCAAAGUCAAGAAGAUUGGAGCAUCCGUGAGGAACAGAACAGCUGACUGGGUCUCUGGUGCGGUAGCCCAUGGUUAGAAAUCUCACCGCCGAAAAUAUUCUGCCUCAGUUAACACUUGUCCUCUGCGAGCAAACAUUAAAUGGAAGUCACUGUACAUUAUCCCUGAGCAAAGCAAUGAGGAAAGUCCCCUCAGAGGCGGCAGGACUGGGCUCUGAGUAAGGGUGUUCCCUUUCCAACGGGCUGCCUUUCAGGACCACCCAGAGCCUGCCUUGUCAUCCCACAGCACCCCAGAAGGUCCCCUCUCACUGCAUUGGCCACUCGUUACUGUAACCGCCAUUUUAUUCCUGGAAAGGAAGAACCAAAGUGAGGGACGCUGUGAACAACAGACAGGCCUUGGUUGCUGAUGGGGUGACUGCAGAGAAACCGUCUUCUGCUCUUUGCUUCGCUGUUUUGCCUCCUUAUCUAGCCCCUCUCACUCCAUCUCAGUGAAAUCCGUCGUGAUCUCCUAGCUCAGAUUUCACAAGUCAACAAAAAAUUAGAACUACUUUAACGACAUUGGUUCUACCGUGCCAGGCCAUGGGCUAGAAGUUACAAGAGUAUGCAGUCUCUACUUGCUUUUUAUUGCAGAACAGCACAUUCCUGGAGCCCAUGUCAUAAAGCGGAUCACUGAAAAGCAAAUUACAUUUUCCCACAGGAACAAUGUUGUAAUUAGAGGCUGUAUUCCUGACAAAGGACUUGGCUUCAUGUAAAUAGUAGACAUGAACAAAAAUAUUUCACAAAAGCAAACAUUUGAGAACUAUAAAUCCUUAUAAUUGUUUAAAAUAAUAAAAUUUUCUUCAAGUAUUAUAAACCAGGCGGGAUUAGAGCGAGUACACACUGAUUAUUCGGGGACUCCAAUGUACCAUAAAGUGUACAUUAAAAUAUAACUACUGUGUCAUAAAUUAGAACCUGAAACUAACUUUAAUAUAGUCAUUACAUACUUAAUUAACAAUGGGAAGGCAGAGAAGUACCAUGAUCACGUGCAGCAUUGGGCGUUAGGAGAGCUAAACUACAGGCUCGCCCUCUAGACUGUGAGCUCUAUGAGGCUAGAGGCUGGGCCUGCCCGGAGUAGGUCAAAAUCAUAUUUACAAUGAACAGCCCAGCCCUGGGUUGUCACUUUGAGUAAGCAAAUCACUUUCUCUAGUUUCUGUCUCUUCAUAUGUAAAACAAGGAAGCUCAACUGUAAAGUCUCUAAGGUCCCCAGCAGCUCCAACAUUCUGGGACUGCCACUUUGGUCUCUUAGAAUUCAAAAGAGUUUCUGGGUGUAGUCAGCUGUGACUUCAGUGAACCUCAGUAUGACCCUCCAGUAUUUAUACACUCCUGUAGUCGCCAACCACAUUCUGGGCUUGGCCAUGUGAAUGGCUCUGGCUAGUGGGACUUUAGCAAGCCAGAUACAACAGAGGCUUAGUAAGCACUUGCAAACUGGGGCUUGUUCCCUUGGAAUAUUCCCUCUUGGAAUCCAGGUACCAUGCUGUGAGGAGCCCAAGACCCACGGAGAGGCCACGUGGAGGGAAACCAGGGCAUUCUGGUGGACUGUCCCACUGAGCUCCCAACCAACUGCCAGCACCCACUGCUAGUCAUGAGUAAGCAUCUUGGACAUUACAGCCCAGUUGAGCCCCCAGAUGACAGCAGCCCCAGCUGAUACCACGUGGAGCAAAAGAACCUCCCAACUGAGCCCAGGCAACCCAUAAAGUUGUGAAAGAUAAUACAACAAUUGCUGUUUUGAGGCACCAAGUUUUGGGGUGGUUCAUGGUGCAGCCAUAGCUAAUUGAAACUCUAGCACAUGGCUUAAAUGGCUCUGGACAUUGGUAAAAACAAACCAUCCAAAGAAGAUUGAAUAAUGUCUAUGUUUCUCCAUAUGAAUUUUCCUCUCCUGAGAAACAUUUAAAAUAUUCCAAUUAUCUUAAAAUAGACUCAAAAUACUGUAGUAGUGUUCAAUAAAUAUUUGUAGUAGAUAAAGAUGUUUCCUCUUCCUGAAAAAUAUUCUUCCUCUUUACCUUCUCUUGAGAAGGUAGAGUUGUUCAAAUGCAUAAUCAAAUAAAGGUCACAAGGAAAUGAUAUGUGCUGCUCAGUCAUUCUACUUGACACUUUGUUGAUAGCUCUUAGAACAUUCCCUCACUACCGAUAAUCCAUAAAAACAAUUAUCAAGCAAAGCAAUGACUUUAAAAUAAGACUGUAGCAAGGUCUCUGGUAAGGCAGAACUUUACUUUUUCUUGAUAAAGAAACUGUUGACAUUCAGGCUGGCAGAAGUAGGCAAAUUUGGAUGAGACAUAGGUUUUCUUAAAGUAAAAGGAUGAGACACUCCAACCAUUCUCUGGGAAAUUCAAAAUUAUUGAAACCUCUCAGGGGUGCCCCGAUCAAGGGUCAAUGACAAAGUCAAGGAGACUACCACAAUAAAAUCAGCAUGGUGACCAGAAAGAGACUGAGUCUGGGGACCUUCCCCGUAUGAAGUCAGGUGGUCAAAGAGGUAGUGGUUCUAAACCUAUCUUGUACUCUGGGGAAUUGGCUGUGUGGGUGAAAAGAAAGCCUGUCAAGUUGGGCCACCUGCUCAACUUUGAUGUGAGGUUCCUCUGGCCAGUCAUUGAUGAGGAGUGGAGGAUGGUCUUUCCUCACACUUUGAAGAACCAGCCUGGGAGAGGGCCUGCACUGGUGCUUGGGCCAUCAGCCACUUAGCUCAGAUGCUGUCAUAAUGUCAUCCCAGGAACGAUGGGUCAGGAGGCCUUCUGACUUCCCAGGUUUUGCUGUGUCACCAGGUCUGCAAUUUGGUGAUGCCUUAACCCAAGCAGAGACAAGUUUCUGGUGGCAGUGACAACAUGCUCUCACUCUUACAGGGUAUGCCUGCCUGAACUCCAGCUCUAGCAGCAAGAUAGACCCUCAGGACACCAAGCCUCCUAAAGAUCAUCCCAGAAGGAUGGAACCAGGGAAGCCAGACAUUUAGCCUCAAGCCAUUUAAUUGGAAUCGUAAAAAGAGACACAGUUUUAUAUCACACCUCUAAGCUGGUAAAGUAGGUUGUGUCCAUUUGGGGCACUACGAACCUUCUCUCAGAUUAUUUAAGAUGGGUAUGAGAAGCACGUAAUCUUUAGGGAAUGCCAGGCACUGUUUCAGAUUCUUACACAUGUCAUUCAUUGAAGUCUCCCAUGUAAUUAUGAGGUAGGUAUUUCCGAGAGGGAACUGAGGCACAAGGAAGUAACAUAACUUUCUCCAGCUUUGACAACCAUUAAGUGGUGAGGCCAGAAUUCGGCCCCAGCCAUGCUCUGAACUUCUCAAUCACUUGCUCUCUUCCUGACACCCCAAAGCUGGCAGCCUUGCUCCCCUGAGCGUUCGAGGGCAUUUCAUGAAGGAAGCCCUCAACAGAGCUGGAGGUGAGAGAGAACAGCACGCUGUCUGCUCCGCAGCACUUCUCUCCGGGACCAGCUUUCUCUGUAUCUUCCACUGUAAUUUAGUUAAUAUACUUAAUAAUCUCACCAAAUGAGGCUAAAUCUGUUUUUGGCACCUAACCAAACCUAAGACUGUAAACCACCUGUCAACACCCUCACUGGAGCUUGUCUGGAUGCCCACAGGAGAGGAAAUCCGGGCUUAGGAGUGUGGCCCUGCUGCGCAGACAGAGCUCAGAACGCCAACUCUCCCGUUCCUCCUGGCCUGGCUCGUUCUGCCUAGAACUCUGAAAUACAGCUCCCUACCCGCUUUGGGCUCUGCGUGUAUAUUGCUAUUAUCAGUUACCAGCAGUAUUUGAUGUCGCUACAGCACCUCAUAUUUGCAAGUCCCCUCCUUCGGGUGUUUGUGCACGGCUGGUCUUCACAGCCACAGCUCUGCACUGACACCACCCGCCCAGAAUUAUUCUUAGGGGGUAAAUGAUUUGCUUACGGCAAUUGCAGAGGGAUGUGCUGGAGAAUGCAAGAUGAGAGACAGGAGACGAAGGACGCCACGGCCUAGCUGUUUAGGGGAGUCCAGUGAAAAGAGCAGAGAACUGGCAGCUUGAUUUUACUUGUUUCCAUUUAUGAUCAUAAAAGUAUUAUUAUUAAUGAGGCUGUUUUACAUUUUACAGCUCCUUUUCAGCUGGAGAGAUUCCCAAAAGGUUUUGCGAACUCUGCUUGCGGCUUCACUGUGAUCGUGUGGCCAUUGCUUGUUCUUGCCUCUCGAGGAGCCUCUUACUCACACAGAGGCAGGGACAGUAGCAAUAAUCAGUAGAUAAAGCCACAAGUUAGACACUAAAGUUUUGCCCCCAACCCUGCCUAGUGUUAAAAAGGGGCUCCUCUUUGCCCCCACGAUCCAUUCCAUUUUCCAGGCAGGAAAAGGUGGUGGCAGCUCAGCAUCCAUUGGUGAGGGCUGAGUUCCCGCCCACUUGUACCACCGGGGACAAUUAGAGCAAAAUGAGACCGCAAACAUCAAUAGGGGAAAGGCUGCAACAAACUUCAGCUAGAAAUCUGAAGAUGUGCUCCUCUUUGUAACAGUGAAAUAUAGAUUUUAAUGCCCUAAAGACACUAAAACUGUAAUGCCAACUCUAAGCGUGUGAAACACAAAAGAAACACGGGGUAAGGUCCUAAAGUAUUCGAUUUAGAGGAAAUGAGCAGAAAGUUGAAAUAGAAAAGCACAGACAUGUGUGGUGUGAAAGCAGAAAAGUCUCGAGGCUAAUAGCCGCAUUAACAACUCUGAGCCAGCGUCAAAUUCUGAAGUCCCCGGGCCCCACGCCCCAGAAGCCCAAGUAGCUUGCUGAGUGUGCUGUCUUCGGGGCCUGCUUCCCAUUUGUUAUUAAGCCCAGCUCUCUGUGGACCCAGAAUCCAUUUCUUAAGAAUCAUGAUCAUCUGCUUGAAUUAGAAGGAGAUUGUUACUUACCUUGAAAUUCUAAAUGCUGUAUUUGGUACUAGCUUUUGUCAGCUGCCAGAGGAAAAGUUCAAUUAAAACGAGUUUCUUUAUCCUUUCCUCCCUCUUAAAAAAAAACCAGGGGGUUAGAUUCUAUAGUUUACUUGUACAGUACUUUAUUCUUAAUUAUUUUAAUUAUUUAACAAAUACAUGUAUAGCACUUCCCAUGUGCCAGACACUGUUCUGAGUGCUUAACAAUAUCACUCAUUCAAUUGUCAUAACAACCCUAAGAGAUAGGCAUUAAUAUUUUACAGAAGAAGAAAUUUACAGAUGAGGAAACUGAGGCACAGAGAGGUUAAGUAACUUGCCUGAGGUCACACUGCUAACGAGCAGCAAAGCCAAGAUUCAAACUCAGGGAGUCUGGCUCAAGUCCCUAUUUUUACUACUAUGUUACGCUGCUUCCCUUACAUAAAUUAUGCUCACAAAUGUGGAGAGGCAGUUUUUAGCGGAACAUAAGGAAAAUAUUAUGAAAGCAAAAGACAAUGACAACUUACAAUUCAGGAAAAUGCGUGUGCCUGGACAUAUUUUUACAGGUUGCUUCCAUUAAAAUCUUAUUUUUAAAAUCAUUAUCUAAUUAACCUUAAAUUCUAAGACAUUUUUCUCUUCCAGGAAGGAGCCACACAUCCAUUGGUGGGGCUUCAUUUUUGUCUUCAUCUGCUUUAUAACUUCAAAGACGGGA
ensembl:lncRNA